rfam:Gymnopus luxurians FD-317 M1 unplaced genomic scaffold GYMLTscaffold_11, whole genome shotgun sequence.
UCCGAUAUGGUGUAGUGGCUAACAUUAUCGCCUCUCAUAUUUGUAAAUUUUGGAAUGAAGCGCGAUAGCCCGGGGUUCGAUUCCCCGUGUCGGAA